rnacentral:lncRNA from 1 species
UCUUUCUUUUAGCUGACUCUCCUACCAAAUUUACUUUCUGAUGCAUGGAUACAGGGUUAUUCUCUCUGGAAGGCAAAGAUGAAGAAGGGGAAGAAAAAGAAGGAGAAGAGGGAGAAGGAGGAGAGGAAACAGUGGGAGAGGACAAGGAGGAGGAGGAGGAUGGCUACACAUACAGAUGGAAUAAAUAUGGGCUCCGAGAUCCCUGGAAGGAGUAGUUGGAUGCCAGCAGCUGGAGAUAUUUUGCUUUAGUAUGUUAACACUUUUUCAGCACAAGAAACUAAAAAG